GGCGGCGUGGCCGAGUGGCUUAGGCAAGGGCCUGCAAAGCCCUGUACACCGGUUCGAUUCCGGUCGCCGCCUCCA
rnacentral:tRNA from 2 species